CUACGUCUUGUUUUGUCUAUGUUGAUCUAGAUUAUCCGUCCAUCUAUUUCAUUGUUAUAACACAGAGUUAACUUACCACAUAUAUUAUGCAUAUAAUAAUAAUAAUAAUUUCCGGAAGGAGAAAUUCAUACAAGAGAACGUUUUCGUGUUCAUUCGUAAAUCCAUAUAAAUUUGAUAUGCAUGCUAUGCGUCUAGUAGGCUUAUUCAACUUAUUGCCUGUCGAAAAAUCUCCAAGCGGAAAUGCAUGCACCAUUAUUGUGAAAGGUAUACCGGCCGGAACUGCGUUUGCCGUAAGAAGGUAAAGUGUCGUAAUUCAGGGUAUAAAUAGUACACCGUCGUCUUUAAGGAAGUUCUUCUCGACUGCUUUCGAUGUUCUGCAGUCAUGGUACCACGGAUAUUUUUUGGAAUACUACGAUGAUUCCAAGAAGUCGGGGUAAAAGCCAUAUCAACAUGCAAGGUACCCUUGGUAGUCAUCUGACAUGUUGGUCCCUUGAUGACCAGGUCUGAUGCCAUGUGGAGCAUCUCCUUUGAGCGGCCUUCUGGAAGCAGGAGUGCCAUUGUCCACGAGAGCCUUCAUGGGUCCCUGAAGCAGGGAAAUCAAGCAGAAGUCCACUGAUGGCCCGGGUCCCUUGAUGACCAGGUCAGACAUGUGGCCCAGUGGAGGCUGCAGUGCUGUUCUCAAGGAGAGACCUUGGUUUGGACUUGGCUGAGGUCCUUGACGCAGGGAAAUCAAGCAGAAGUCCACUGAUGGCCCAGGCACGGCUAUGGGUUCACCCUCGUCUAUGGAAGGAACACGUGCUGGUGGCCGCCCUUCAGGUGGUGUCCAGACUGACGUACAACAUGUGGAUCGUGGCUGCACCGUCAUACCAGUUCUAGAUGUAGCUUUCGUUGAUGCUUGAUGAGCAGACCAAGAAACGAGAAAUCGACUUCUCUACAAAAUUUCCUGUCAUGUCUGUCAGUUUCAAUAAAAUGAAAUGGUACCAAAACGUGGCCUUAUUUUCUGAUCCACUUCAAGUAUAAUGCAAUUUUCCUGAGAACUUGUUUGUUUUGCUGAAAUGAACUUCUGCAUGACUCAUUGAGUACAUGUCACAGCUUGUGAUUAUUUCCUAGCAUGGUGAGGGGGCAUUCAAUGCUUAAUGUAAAGGGUUCAUUAAUUGCUUAAAAUAAUUUGUUCGGGGUGGCAAAGAAGGCUAGGUUUGAGUGGGUGGACGUCGCAAUCUAAAGCAAGUUGCUUUUAGUCAGCCGUGAGUUGUAGCACAUGGACAGCAACCUGGGGUACAGUCUUGGGUUUUAAAAUAUACCAUAUGAGGUACUGCGCUCGUCUUUCUGCAGCAUAGUCUGCAUAUAAUGUUUUCUAUAUAAUAGACUAUUUGAGCCAUUGAAACAACUGCGCCAAAUCAAAUCCUUGGGGGGGCUUGUUCGCUCAACGGGGUGCGGCCGCCUACGUGUCGCUUUUCAGUGAUUCUGUGUCUCGUCCCGGCAGAAAGACAUGGAAAUGGGCGACUCGGACCUCGACAUGAGCGUCUGACACAACUACGCGCAAAUGGACAUGAGCGUCCGACACCUACUCAGACAUGGACAAUGUCAGGAUUUGCUGGUCUCUCUUUAAACGACUUGUAGCAACGUCCACUAAACCGAAGAUAACCAACAAGUCGUUGUGCAAUGAUUUGGUGUUUAAAUAUAAGGGGCAGUUAAGAUUAUUCAGACAUGCCUCUCCUAUGGAAACCAACCAUUGGCGCUCAAAGCGUUGAUCCCUCUAGUCUACACAAUCACACUCUAAGUCAGAAAACCGGAUUGCCAGAACCUGUUUUCCUCGCCGACCCCACCCCACCCGGGGGCGGGUUAGGCUGGGCAUGCACACACAGCUCUGUGGCGUCAUCAAACCUCUAUCCCACACGGUUUAGGCCAUUCAGCUGCAGGGGAGAUGUGCAAACACAGAACAAUAGAUAAAAUAUUGCAUCGUAAACACAGACCACUUAACAUAACCGUCCAAAGCAGAGCUCCCCCCCCGCCCCUCCGUCAUGCUGAUCUAGGGUGG
ensembl:lncRNA